rnacentral:rRNA from 1 species
UGCCAGCCGCCGCGGUAAUACGGAGGGGGUUAGCGUUGUUCGGAAUUACUGGGCGUAAAGCGCACGUAGGCGGAUUAGUAAGUUAGGGGUGAAAUCCCGGGGCUCAACCCCGGAACUGCCUCUAAUACUGCUAGUCUUGAGUUCGAGAGAGGGAAGUGGAAUUUCCGGUGUAGCGGUGGAAUGCGUAGAUAUCGGAAGGAACACCAGUGGCGAAGGCGGCUCACUGGCUCGAUACUGACGCUGAGGUGCGAAAGUGUGGGGAGCAAACAGGAUUAGAUA